UCCUUGGUGACUCAGCGGUAAAGAAUCUGCCUGCAAUGCAGGAGAUGUGGGUUCGAUUCCUGGGUAAGGAA
rnacentral:tRNA from 1 species